GGGCCAGGGGACGGGCAUACCCCGGGAACUGGGGAUAAUUCCGGAUAACGCAUAUUUGCUGGAAUGCUUUAUGCGUCAAAAGGAUUCGUCUGCCCAAGGAUGGGUCUGCGGCCUAUCAGGUAGUAGUGGGUGUAAUGUACCUACUAGCCAGCGACGGGUACGGGUUGUGAGAGCAAGAGCCCGGAGAUGGAUUCUGAGACAUGAAUCCAGGCCCUACGGGGCGCAGCAGGCGCGAAAACUUUACAAUGCGGGAAACCGUGAUAAGGGGACACCGAGUGCCAGCAUCAUAUGCUGGCUGUCCGGAUGUGUAAAAUACAUCCGUUAGCAAGGGCCGGGCAAGACCGGUGCCAGCCGCCGCGGUAACACCGGCGGCCCGAGUGGUGAUCGUGAUUAUUGGGUCUAAAGGGUCCGUAGCCGGUUUGGUCAGUCCUCCGGGAAAUCUGAUAGCUCAACUAUUAGGCUUUCGGGGGAUACUGCCAGACUUGGAACCGGGAGAGGUAAGAGGUACUACAGGGGUAGGAGUGAAAUCUUGUAAUCCCUGUGGGACCACCUGUGGCGAAGGCGUCUUACCAGAACGGGUUCGACGGUGAGGGACGAAAGCUGGGGGCACGAACCGGAUUAGAUACCCGGGUAGUCCCAGCCGUAAACGAUGCUCGCUAGGUGUCAGGCAUGGCGCGACCGUGUCUGGUGCCGCAGGGAAGCCGUGAAGCGAGCCACCUGGGAAGUACGGCCGCAAGGCUGAAACUUAA
rnacentral:rRNA from 1 species